rnacentral:rRNA from 1 species
UACGAAGGGGGCUAGCGUUGCUCGGAAUCACUGGGCGUAAAGGGUGCGUAGGCGGGUCUUUUAAGUCAGGGGUGAAAUCCUGGAGCUCAACUCCAGAACUGCCUUUGAUACUGAAGAUCUUGAGUUCGGGAGAGGUGAGUGGAACUGCGAGUGUGGAGGUGAAAUUCGUAGAUAUUCGCAAGAACACCAGUGGCGAAGGCGGCUCACUGGCCCGAUACUGACGCUGAGGCACGAAAGCGUGGGGAGCAAACAGGG